CCGCCUCCCCCUCCGUCGAUUUCAAAAGUCAGUUCUCCUUCUCCACCACCUCCGCCUUAUAUAGGCCAAUAUGAUAAGGCGAAUAAUGAAAUCACAGGGGACAAUGAAUGGAGUAGAAGUGUGGCAGAGCCCCUUCCACCAGGGGUAGACGUCUCUGAAAUUUCAAAAAGUACCGACUCAACGAACAAUCAGUCGAAAACGUCGGAUGUUUUGGGGCAAGAACUUAAUUUCUUUUACUCCGACAUUGCUGCUUUAGAAGGCCAAGUAAAUACACCAAAACUAUCAUCUCAAAGUGGUGGCUUAAGUGAAAAGAGUGAGUCUGAAGAAGUACCAAAGCGAAAGAAAAGAAAGGUAAAAAUUGCAGAUGGCUUAUCAUUAAAAAAAAAAGGUGUCUCUAAAUUGGUGGAGAAGUGGAAAAACGUGCAAAAGGACUUAAACUAUAGUAAUCAAUAAAUUUUUUUAGUUAA